rnacentral:rRNA from 1 species
UACGAAGGGUGCAAACGUUGCUCGGAAUCAUUGGGCGUAAAGCGCACGUAGGCGGCAUUCUAAGUCGGAUGUGAAAUCCCUCGGCUCAACCGAGGACGUGCAUCCGAAACUGGAACGCUCGAGUAUGGAAGAGGGUCGCGGAAUUCUCGGUGUAGAGGUGAAAUUCGUAGAUAUCGGGAGGAACACCAGUGGCGAAGGCGGCGCCUGGGCCAAUACUGACGCUGAGGUGCGAAAGCGUGGGGAGCAAACAGG